AACGAACGCUGGCGGCAUGCCUAACACAUGCAAGUCGAACGAGACCUUCGGGUCUAGUGGCGCACGGGUGCGUAACGCGUGGGAACCUGCCCUUAGGCUCGGAAUAACACCCCGAAAGGGGUGCUAAUACCGGAUAAUGUCUUCGGACCAAAGAUUUAUCGCCGUUGGAUGGGCCCGCGUUGGAUUAGCUAGUUGGUAGGGUAAAAGCCUACCAAGGCGACGAUCCAUAGCUGGUCUGAGAGGAUGAUCAGCCACACUGGGACUGAGACACGGCCCAGACUCCUACGGGAGGCAGCAGUGGGGAAUAUUGGACAAUGGGCGAAAGCCUGAUCCAGCAAUGCCGCGUGAGUGAUGAAGGCCUUAGGGUUGUAAAGCUCUUUUACCCGGGAUGAUAAUGACAGUACCGGGAGAAUAAGCUCCGGCUAACUCCGUG
rnacentral:rRNA from 1 species